rnacentral:rRNA from 1 species
UACGUAGGGUGCAAGCGUUUGUCCGGAAUUAUUGGGCGUAAAGAGCUCGUAGGCGGUUUGUCGCGUCUGCUGUGAAAUCUGGGGGGCUCAACCCCCCAGCCUGCAGUGGGUACGGGCAGACUAGAGUGCGGUAGGGGAGAUUGGAAUUCCUGGUGUAGCGGUGGAAUGCGCAGAUAUCAGGAGGAACACCGAUGGCGAAGGCAGAUCUCUGGGCCGUAACUGACGCUGAGGAGCGAAAGCAUGGGGAGCGAACAGG